UACGAAGGGGGCUAGCGUUGCUCGGAAUCACUGGGCGUAAAGCGCACGUAGGCGGCUUCUUAAGUCAGGGGUGAAAUCCUGGAGCUCAACUCCAGAACUGCCUUUGAUACUGAGGAGCUUGAGUCCGGGAGAGGUGAGUGGAACUGCGAGUGUAGAGGUGAAAUUCGUAGAUAUUCGCAAGAACACCAGUGGCGAAGGCGGCUCACUGGCCCGGUACUGACGCUGAGGUGCGAAAGCGUGGGGAGCAACCAGG
rnacentral:rRNA from 1 species